rnacentral:rRNA from 1 species
GACGAACCGUGCGAACGUUGUUCGGAUUCACUGGGCUUAAAGGGCGCGUAGGCGGGCCAUCAAGUCAGGGGUGAAAUCUUUCGGCUCAACCGGAAAAGUGCCUUUGAUACUGGUGGUCUCGAGGGAGGUAGGGGCAUGCGGAACUUCCGGUGGAGCGGUGAAAUGCGUAGAUAUCGGAAGGAACGCCGGUGGCGAAGGCGACUUCCUGGCCUGGUUCUUGACGCUGAGGCGCGAAAGCUAGGGGAG